rnacentral:rRNA from 1 species
CCUACGGGUGGCAGCAGUGGGGAAUAUUGGACAAUGGGCGGAAGCCUGACCCAGCGAUGCCGCGUGAGUGAAGAAGGUCUUCGGAUUGUAAAGUUCUAUCCUCUGGGAAGAAAAACAUGACGGUACCAUACUAAGAAGCCCCGGCUAACUACGUGCCAGCAGCCGCGGUAAUACGUAGGGGGCAAGCGUUAUCCGGAAUUACUGGGCGUAAAGAGAGCGUAGGCGGCACUACAAGUCUGAGGUGACAUACCCGGGCUAAACUCGGGGGUUGCAUGGGAAACUGUAGGGCUGGAGGACAGGAGAGGCAAGCGGAAUCCCAAGUGUAGCGGUGAAAUGGAUAGAGAUUAGGAGGAAAAC